AAAAUAAUGUAUGUACAUUAAACUGCAGUAAAGUAAAAAAUAUGGACGCAAAAUAAUUUUAGAUGCAGCAGGUGCGCAGCGAAGCACUUCAACAAAUUACCGCUUUUUAGAGCUUUACAACGUUGCUUAAUGAGGAUGGAAUGGCUCAGGGGCGAAUAAGAUACCAACAAAUCAAAAUACGUAAACUAUUGUCAAUCAGACCGGAAGCUAAUUUUGAAAAAAAAAAAAAUUUGUUGAAAUAGAAGAGCAGGCUUUUCAUGUAUGGCAGAAAGAAGAAAUCUGAUAUAUGGCAAAGAAGAUACAAGUACCCUGGUGAGCGGAGAACUUAAAAGAGCUUCGAUUUUAAUGAAAUUUGAUCGGUUUUCAGACACGGCCCACCACAUAAUCAAAUGUUCGUAAAAAAGCGAUAAUGAAAAAAAAAUUAAAAAAGGCAUAUUUUUUACCGCAGAUAGUAAGAAUGUAAUAACUUCUAAAAAUGCAGACCCAGCCGCCAAUUUUUCGUUUUCUAUAUACAGUGGUGGAAAAAUAAACAAGACACGACAUUUUAACAAAUUUUUCUUAUUUUUCAUUAUCUAACAAA